rfam:Jatropha curcas cultivar GZQX0401 scaffold127_51, whole genome shotgun sequence.
GUAUUGGCGGAUGCAGCACCAUCAAGAUUCACAACUCCACGGCGGAGCUACGGUGGCCCUUUCUUAUAUAUGAAUAUGAGAAUCUUGAUGAUGCUGCAUCAGCAAAUAU